UACGUAGGGUGCAAGCGUUAAUCGGAAUUACUGGGCGUAAAGCGUGCGCAGGCGGUGAUGUAAGACAGAUGUGAAAUCCCCGGGCUCAACCUGGGAACUGCGUUUGAAACUACAAGGCUAGAGUGUAGCAGAGGGGGGUAGAAUUCCACGUGUAGCAGUGAAAUGCGUAGAGAUGUGGAGGAAUACCAAUGGCGAAGGCAGCCCCCUGGGUUAACACUGACGCUCAUGCACGAAAGCGUGGGGAGCAAACAGGAUUAGA
rnacentral:rRNA from 1 species